rnacentral:rRNA from 1 species
AGUGAACGCUGGCGGUAGACCUAACACAUGCAAGUCGAACGGCAGCACAGUAAGAGCUUGCUCUUACGGGUGGCGAGUGGCGGACGGGUGAGGAAUACAUCGGAAUCUACUUUUUCGUGGGGGAUAACGUAGGGAAACUUACGCUAAUACCGCAUACGACCUACGGGUGAAAGCAGGGGAUCUUCGGACCUUGCGCGAUUGAAUGAGCCGAUGUCGGAUUAGCUAGUUGGCGGGGUAAAGGCCCACCAAGGCGACGAUCCGUAGCUGGUCUGAGAGGAUGAUCAGCCACACUGGAACUGAGACACGGUCCAGACUCCUACGGGAGGCAGCAGUGGGGAAUAUUGGACAAUGGGCGCAAGCCUGAUCCAGCCAUACCGCGUGGGUGAAGAAGGCCUUCGGGUUGUAAAGCCCUUUUGUUGGGAAAGAAAAGCAGCAGGUUAAUACCCCGCUGUUCUGACGGUACCCAAAGAAUAGGCACCGGCUAACUUCGUG